rnacentral:rRNA from 1 species
UACGUAGGUGGCAAGCGUUAUCCGGAAUUAUUGGGCGUAAAGAGCGCGCAGGUGGUUAAUUAAGUCUGAUGUGAAAGCCCACGGCUUAACCGUGGAGGGUCAUUGGAAACUGGUUGACUUGAGUGCAGAAGAGGGAAGUGGAACUCCAUGUGUAGCGGUGAAAUGCGUAGAUAUAUGGAAGAACACCAGUGGCGAAAGCGGCUCUCUGGUCUGUAACUGACGCUGAGGUUCGAAAGCGUGGGUAGCAAACAGG